rnacentral:rRNA from 1 species
UACGAAGGGGGCGAGCGUUGUUCGGAUUUACUGGGCGUAAAGGGCGCGUAGGCGGCCCUUCAAGUCAGGCGUGAAAGCCCCGGGCUCAACCUGGGAGGUGCGCUUGGGACUGGAGGGCUGGAGUUCGGGAGAGGAGCGUGGAAUUCCCAGUGUAGAGGUGAAAUUCGUAGAUAUUGGGAAGAACACCGGUGGCGAAGGCGGCGCUCUGGACCGAGACUGACGCUGAGGCGCGAAAGCGUGGGGAGCGAACAGG